GUUAUUGUCAUGACAAUUUUAAUGUUAAUUAACAUGGAAUGUCACUUUGGACUCUCUUUGUAUAUUGUUAUAUUAUACAUUUAUAUUUAUUCGAACAUUGAUAGAUACCAUAUCAUUGUGAACUAUGAAUGAUUGGGGAAGGAACAACAGGCUUGAAGCCCAAAACUGUUGCUCUCCCAAAUUUGCAAACUUAUUGUUUAAUGUUAUACAUUUUUGGUUGUAUACUUGACGUUCUCUGUUCAAUAAAUUUGAUGGCAAUAAAAUCCUAUCCAUUUAUUUAUGAUUGACUUGAAUUUAUUGUAUUGUUUGUUGCAGACAAAGAAGGAGAGGUCGUGUGGGGUCGGCUGGGCGGCUACCCCUUUUGGUGCGCCAGAGUAGCCGCCGACGAGUCAGGCAACUUCAAGCGCCAACGAGGCCGAGUGCAGGAAGUGAGGGUCGAGUGGCUGGCGGAUGGCCGCCACUCGUGGCUAGCCACUUCGGCCCUCAGGGCAUUUGACCCCCACGGCAACCCCCACCAACAACUGCACAGUGACAUUGAGAACAACCCGGGCCACAAUAAAAAAA